rnacentral:rRNA from 1 species
CGAGUCUUAACCGGGCGUUAAGUUGCAGGGUAUAGACCCGAAACCCGGUGAUCUAGCCAUGGGCAGGUUGAAGGUUGGGUAACACUAACUGGAGGACCGAACCGACUAAUGUUGAAAAAUUAGCGGAUGACCUGUGGCUGGGGGUGAAAGGCCAAUCAAACCGGGAGAUAGCUGGUUCUCCCCGAAAGCUAUUUAGGUAGCGCCUCGUGAAUUCAUCUCCGGGGGUAGAGCACUGUUUCGGCUAGGGGGCCAUCCCGGCUUACCAACCCGAUGCAAACUGCGAAUACCGGAGAAUGUUAUCACGGGAGACACACGGCGGGUGCUAACGUCCGUCGUGAAGAGGGAAACAACCCAGACCGCCAGCUAAGGUCCCAAAGUCAUGGUUAAGUGGGAAACGAUGUGGGAAGGCCCAGACAGCCAGGAUGUUGGCUUAGAAGCAGCCAUCAUUUAAAGAAAGCGUAAUAGCUCACUGGUCGAGUCGGCCUGCGCGGAAGAUGUAACGGGGCUAAACCAUGCACCGAAGCUGCGGCAGCGAACGUAUCACCCAAGACAACUUUACGGAGUUGACGAUUGACGGAGCGAAGCGACGUCAAAGCGUUCAUUAAAGUCGAGUUGGCUUAGGGAUACGUUCGUUGGGUAGGGGAGCGUUCUGUAAGCCUGUGAAGGUGGCCUGUGAGGGUUGCUGGAGGUAUCAGAAGUGCGAAUGCUGACAUAAGUAACGAUAAAGCGGGUGAAAAGCCCGCUCGCCGGAAGACCAAGGGUUCCUGUCCAACGUUAAUCGGGGCAGGGUGAGUCGACCCCUAAGGCGAGGCCGAAAGGCGUAGUCGAUGGGAAACGGGUUAAUAUUCCCGUACUUGGUGUUACUGCGAAGGGGGGACGGAGAAGGCUAUGUUGGCCGGGCGACGGUUGUCCCGGUUUAAGCGUGUAGGUGUGUGUUCCAGGUAAAUCCGGUUCACUUUAACACUGAGGCGUGAUGACGAGGCACUACGGUGCUGAAGCAACAAAUGCCCUGCUUCCAGGAAAAGCCUCUAAGCAUCAGGUAACAUCAAAUCGUACCCCAAACCGACACAGGUGGUCAGGUAGAGAAUACCAAGGCGCUUGAGAGAACUCGGGUGAAGGAACUAGGCAAAAUGGUGCCGUAACUUCGGGAGAAGGCACGCUGACACGUAGGUGAAGUGAUUUACUCACGGAGCUGAAGUCAGUCGAAGAUACCAGCUGGCUGCAACUGUUUAUUAAAAACACAGCACUGUGCAAACACGAAAGUGGACGUAUACGGUGUGACGCCUGCCCGGUGCCGGAAGGUUAAUUGAUGGGGUCAGCGCAAGCGAAGCUCCUGAUCGAAGCCCCGGUAAACGGCGGCCGUAACUAUAACGGUCCUAAGGUAGCGAAAUUCCUUGUCGGGUAAGUUCCGACCUGCACGAAUGGCGUAAUGAUGGCCAGGCUGUCUCCACCCGAGACUCAGUGAAAUUGAACUCGCUGUGAAGAUGCAGUGUACCCGCGGCAAGACGGAAAGACCCCGUGAACCUUUACUAUAGCUUGACACUGAACAUUGAGCCUUGAUGUGUAGGAUAGGUGGGAGGCUUUGAAGUGUGGACGCCAGUCUGCAUGGAGCCGACCUUGAAAUACCACCCUUUAAUGUUUGAUGUUCUAACGUGGACCCGUGAUCCGGGUUGCGGACAGUGUCUGGUGGGUAGUUUGACUGGGGCGGUCUCCUCCUAAAGAGUAACGGAGGAGCACGAAGGUUGGCUAAUCCUGGUCGGACAUCAGGAGGUUAGUGCAAUGGCAUAAGCCAGCUUGACUGCGAGCGUGACGGCGCGAGCAGGUGCGAAAGCAGGUCAUAGUGAUCCGGUGGUUCUGAAUGGAAGGGCCAUCGCUCAACGGAUAAAAGGUACUCCGGGGAUAACAGGCUGAUACCGCCCAAGAGUUCAUAUCGACGGCGGUGUUUGGCACCUCGAUGUCGGCUCAUCACAUCCUGGGGCUGAAGUAGGUCCCAAGGGUAUGGCUGUUCGCCAUUUAAAGUGGUACGCGAGCUGGGUUUAGAACGUCGUGAGACAGUUCGGUCCCUAUCUGCCGUGGGCGCUGGAGAACUGAGGGGGGCUGCUCCUAGUACGAGAGGACCGGAGUGGACGCAUCACUGGUGUUCGGGUUGUCAUGCCAAUGGCACUGCCCGGUAGCUAAAUGCGGAAGAGAUAAGUGCUGAAAGCAUCUAAGCACGAAACUUGCCCCGAGAUGAGUUCUCCCUGAGACUUAGAGUCUCCUGAAGGAACGUUGAAGACGACGACGUUGAUAGGCCGGGUGUGUAAGCGCAGCGAUGCGUUGAGCUAACCGGUACUAAUGAACCGUGAGGCUUAACCUU